rnacentral:rRNA from 1 species
UACAGAGGGUGCGAGCGUUGUCCGGAAUCACUGGGCGUAAAGGGCGCGUAGGCGGCCUGAUAAGUCGGGGGUGAAAUCCUGUGGCUUAACCACAGGGCUGCCUCCGAGACUGUCGGGCUCGAGCACAGUAGAGGCAGGUGGAAUUCCCGGUGUAGCGGUGAAAUGCGUAGAUAUCGGGAGGAACAUCAGUGGCGAAGGCGGCCUUCUGGUCCAGUACUGACACUCAAGUGCGAAAGCGUGGGGAGCAAACAGG